AUUGAACGCUGGCGGCAGGCCUAACACAUGCAAGUCGGGCGAGCGGGGGACGGGUGAAUAAUGUAUGGAGAUGUGCCUGAUGGAGGGGGAUCCCUACUGGACACGGUAGCUAAUACCGCAUACCCUCAGAUGACCCCAUAUGGGUUUAGCUUGGAGGUAGGGUAACGGCGUACCUAGGCGACGCCCCCGAGCUGGUCUGAGAGGAUGAUCAGCCACACUGGGACUGAGACACGGCCCAGACUCCUACGGGAGGCAGCAGUGGGGAAUAUUGCACAAUGGGCGCAAGCCUGAUGCAGCCAUGCCGCGUGUAUGAAGAAGGCCUUCGGGUUGUAAAGUACUUUCAGUCGGGAGGCGUUACCGACAGAAGAAGCACCGGCUAACUCCGUGCCAGCAGCCGCGGUAAUUC
rnacentral:rRNA from 1 species